CGGGCAUCUUUACUACGGCCGCUACCGACGGAGCUGGAGCCGCCGCCAGUCACGUGAUUAGCCGACCGGGUGACUAAAGAUUGGGAAAGACGCCAGUAUCAGCGCCGAGUCACGGACCAAUGACGAAGAAAGAGUUAGCCAAUGGCGCUCUUUCCACCGUUACGAAAUAUUAACGCAGUCGUGUUUCCCGGGCUCACCUUCCGCCCGUUCUAAUAAGAUCGGAUUAGGCUUUUCGCCCGAUUCCAGGUGAGUUUCCGUCUCGGGUCGGGCGACGGCGAAAUUUUAAGGCUGCCUUCUCGGUCCGCCGUCUGCCUAACCUACCACCGUUGGGUGGGUCGAUAUUAAUCUAGUGGGACGAUUUCGAAACUCCCGGCGCCGUCGCCUCCGUAAGAUGGCGUGGACACCACCCACCGCCGUCUCUACCUUCUUCCACUUUAGUCCCAAUAAUUAAAUCUGUCUAUGGGAAUUCGUUUCCUUCUCCCAGCCCGAUAGUCAACCGAUGCUGGCCUUAAUCCGUUCUGGAAAGACGACUUUCGUCUCCCUUGGAGGUGGAAAACUUUCUUCCACUCGGUGGUUAAUCGGCGCCAUUAUUUCGUCUAUGUUAGAGCCUAAAUUUUCCUCUUACCACCGGUUGGGUUGGUAUUUACCGCAGUUUUAUAGUCAGUACUCGUUCCCGACCGCUGGUGGUAUCUCCAUUCGACUGAAAACCUCAAUUGCCCAUCGAUUAUUACCCACGUUGACGCCUUUUAGCCACCGUCACGCCAGCAUUUCCGGGACCAGUUGCGUAAGAACAAGUCUGGCCUCCGAUUCUAUCCCACCCGCCCGUUGCAAUUCCGCUACUGUUAUCUCGGACGCCUUCUGGGCUUAAAUCAUCACUGGUACAAUUAACCCGCUUAAUGGGCAGGCAGGCCUACCAGGCCAGGGACGAAGCGCCUCGGCUACCUGUUGAUCGGAAGUCGGCCGACCUACCUUCCGUCCGCUACCUAAUUUUCUCAACCAGGUACGGCUAGACUGGGCGACCCGACCAUCCGCUCCCGUUUGAAUACCGACGAUCCGGGGGCGGAAACGGUGCGACGGGUUUAAUCUUUGCUCGCUACUCGAAUAACCCGCUAGUACGGUUAAGGCUGCCAGAGGCGCGUCUAUUACUAGCCCAUUAAAGGCGCGUCUGGAUCUUCCGCCGUCGCCCGACCCAAAACUCUAGAAUAUUUAUCCCGUUAGGUGUAUAAUUGGUCCGGUACCACUAUAUUUUGAUUUCGUCUAAAAAAUAUUCCGAGUGUUUGGCAGCUACCGUGGAAUGGUGUUAGAAAUUUUGCUUAGCGCUCUUCCCAUUGAGCUUACCUACAUAAUUAUUUACCUUCUUAUGUACAGUAUUUUUGUUAUAAAUAACAUAAAUGUAGGGUAGGGUAAAAUUGUUUUAAAAUAUAUAUAUGUUCAUAUAUAUAUGUGUGUACACACCCACACACACAUAUGGUAAAAUGUGGGGCAAACGGACACGCUAAUUAUGCAUAAUAUACUUUAUUAAAAACAGAGUAAUUUUUUUUAUUAUAUUUGUUAAGAUUUAAAGUAAUGAAGCACUUAAAAUUUAUUUUUAUCAGUAACACUAAAAUUGUGUAAUAACAUAAUUUAACAAAUAUUGCGCGAUGUCCGUUGGCCCCUCCCUAUUACGGACAGAAGGACAAUUUAUGGGGACAAACGCGUAUACGUGUUUUCUUAAUCGCUGUCGUCGCCGAGACGAUGGUGGCCAACGAAACACGGAUCGCUUCCAUUUUCUCUACCUGGUACGCGAUAUCAACGCGAGUAAUCGAGGUCUCGCACCAAUUUACGUAACUUUGCGCUCGCCUCGCACGUGUUUUCUUUAUCGAAGUUUAAAGGAGCUACAGCGUAAGUCGACGAUACUCGGAUUUGUAUCGGUGGCGGAACAAACCCGAGUAACGUCCGUCUACUUGGUCUUCCUCUAUCUAACAAAAUAUCGUGCGUCGAUCGAAUUCGAGAAUCUCUACAUCUCGCCACAUUCUCCUUCUCCAAGCAUUCUUUGGAACGUUCUGUGUUUUAGUCGCAGUGGCUGACGUCAUUCCGUCAACUUUGACAGCUUUUACGGCCACUGCCUCAUUUUUCUGACUAAUUAAACCAUCAAUUUGAAUUUAGUCGACGAUUAUCAGUCGCAUUCGAUUAAAUAUAUAAUUCAUAUAGAAAAUGUAAGUGAAUAAAACGCGAUUCAAAUAAUCAAAUGCGUUCUAUAGAUAUAAAUAUAAACCAUCCGUGAAUAACAUUUUAUAAAAUAUAUAUUUUAAGGUUUAAAUGCCAAAACAUGAGCGUCUUUUGCCCGGGAUGCCACCGACGCCCACCUCAGUUUCGCGCGUUAAGGUUACGAAACUAAAAACUAAACGUCGGCAGCGCGUUGUUCGACACUGCUAACGAUCGACUAAUGCGUUGUUCCCUUAGCACCUGGGCAGGUAAAAAGGCCGUGGCCGUUUAAAAAACCGUCGAUACGUUCCAGUCGGUAGUGAUACGCGGAUAUUUUAGGUCCAGAGAAGUGGAAAAACCCUUUUAUAUUCGAAUGAAUAUUGUUUAUUCUUAAUUGGACUUUUAAAAUAUUCCCCAUCACUCGACGCAAUUAAUUAAAGCAAAAGUAAACUUUCGAAACCGGUCGCGUGGUAGAGUAUAGAAAAGAAAAUUUCUGGGUCGGGCCAAACUACAACCGAAGACGCCGAUUCUCCUUCGACGGAAAGUAGUCCCGCCAGGCCACCGUUUCUCGUUGUAUAUGGUGUUUCAGUUUAAUGACGAGAGGCCGAUAUUUUUGAAUAUUUCGGAGUGACCGAGGAAUCGAAGACCACCCGAAUUUAUGUCGACAUCUGGUAAAAGUAAGAGCGCUUAUUUGGGUGCCGAGAUGGACCCGCAUAUUAAGCCAUACGACCGCCGCCCAUCUCCUGGUGGAUAGUAAUCCAACAGGAGCAUACCGGGAAAAAUUACACCGAUAAGACAGGAUAGGAAGACAGUGGAUAGGAUAGGGACUGACGCUCCGCUCCUCCCCCUAUCAGUCCACUGUGGCCAGGGCUGACGGACAAAAUUUCCCGCUGAUAUCGGCCGCCACCAAUGUGGAUAGGCCUCCAGGCUGCCAUAAUUUGUUUUUAAUCCAUAUAUUAUUAGUACGGACAGCUAUUAGUAAUCCGAUACCGAAUUUGGGAACUCGAUACAGAAGAACCCAGGAAAUGUCGCAUCAAGGAAUUUGGAUAAGUACGGAGGUUUUAACUGCGUCGAAAACUCGUCCCACACGCGUAUCGGUUAGCGUAAAAAUAAACGAAUAAAAUUUUUUGUCUGCCUCCGUAAAAAGCCCUUACGCCAAUGAUCUAAAUUUCUAUUCCCUAUCUUUGCCUUUUCUGUCCCCUGGUUUAUUUAUUGAACAUUUUCUGUCAAAAAUAUCAUAACUUCUCGGUUACAAAAUUUAAUAUCUAUUACGUAACUACGGUGAGUAAAACUUUUAUUUUUUGACAAUGGUCGGCCGUAACUAUAGAUAUUUUAAAAGGCGAGUGGAAAGCGACAAAAAGUUAUUCGGUGGGCAAUAAAAAUACUGGGCCAUCGAGUGGAGGUAGUGGGGUUUGAUGUAGUCAUGUUUUUAAGACAGAAACGAAGCUGGUGCAACUGCUGACUUUGGGAUCUUCCUGACUGACUUACCCAAUAAAUUUACCGCGGAUUAAUCGAGGACGAUAAAAACCGGUCUGGGUUGGUCGUCUCCAUAUUUUUCUCGGUCUCUUCCGUAAAUUCGCCGUCACCCGGAGUUUACUUCGACCCCGCUACCGGAAUUGUACGCGGAUUGAGCGCCGAUAAAAUUCUGUCUUAAAAUACGUGUGACUAACUGAAAAGUUUGACGUGGUAUAUAUUCUGGACCCUUCCCAAAUAGAAAGGCGGAAUCUCGCUUACUUGGCGCUCGUUAUUUGUUUCGAUUUUAAGAUUCAUUCUGUCCGCCAAGGUGAUAAAAUUUCCCUCCAUAUUAAAUAAGACCCGGGCCCUAAAUAAUCCAGAUAAAAGUUAAAAAUUUUCGGUAAAAAUUUACCUUACCUGCGCCAUUGCUGCGCGCGUCGACUCUCAAACAGUCUAUUAUAUUGUGGCCCGCGCGUCGCGCGCGAUGUCGGUCGCGCAGCAAACGGUUAUGUAACAAUGUCCGAAAAAACAGCGGAUACAAAUUUCGGGAUGGCGACGCGCGGUUAAGGCAAAUUUUUACCAAUUUUUCCACCCAUCUUCGUUCUCUCUCGGCUAUAUUCGUCUCCUCCUCCCGGUAAAGCUGGAGAAUGUAGGAGGAUUUCGCUAUUCCGCCCGCGUGGUUUUACGACCAAGCUGUGAAAUCCACCCCACUCUAAUGUUAACUGCGCCAUACAUUGUAGUUUCUUUCCUUACCUAGUUUACAUAUAUACAAUAAACAAUUUGAUUUAUCCGCCGUUGAUGCUACAGAACUACGAACCGUCAAAAUUAUGCUCUAUUCUAGCCAUCUAUACGUUACGACUGUAAUGGCGGAAUUGUUAUAUUACUGGUACACGUUUCUUUAAUUUUGGCAGACAUCUUCAACGAAAGACGAAAAUGUUUUCCUCCAUUAUCGGAAACCGGUUAAACUUUCUUUAAUAUCAUUUAUUAAAUAAUCUAUGGUAAAAAAAAAUAAAUCGAAGUUUUUAGCGAUAAAGCUAAUUACGUAUCUCGACUGUAUUGAAUGUAGUUGGAAAAAGCCGACAUCUAUCGGUAAAAGAAAGAACCGAGUAUAAUUUUCCAUUAAGAAUACGCUCGCCAGCGUAAACAAAAACACUAGCUGAGAAAUUUAACGACCUUGUCCCGGCCGAAGUAGUUCUGUAGAAACGGAAACGAUUGCGGUUGCGAAACUUCGAAUGGCGACGCGACGUCAUCGGGCUCCUUUUCCACUUUCCGUAGUGCCGGCCACUCGUUAUAUUUUAAUUUCGUUAUCGAUCCGCCUCUUCGAUUAAAAAACUAAAUAUAAAUUUCUGUACGCCUAAAAAAAAUUCGUUUCCGUUAUUUUUAUAAUGAAUUAGAUAAAAAAAAACUACUCUAUUAAUUUCCCUAGUUUUUAAUCGAUUUCUUGGACAACUCGGCUAAACGCGGGAAUUUGUUAUUAAUUUAUCGAAAUUAAUUCCUAAACUUAAACGCUGUAUUAAUUUUUUGGCCCGUUUUUAAACCAAAAUACCGUUUGUUUUUAACGAUGAUCGUUAGGCAUCCUCUCGGAAACCAAAUCGAUUAAUUCCGUUUUUUUGCAAAUUUCUCAAUUUUAGUACCCCACCACGCGAUUAGCGCAAACACGAGCUUGAGUACUAAAAUUGAGAAAUUUAAAAAAACAAAUUGAAUUAAUCAGUUUGACUUCUGAGAGGCUCUCUUAACCUGAAACUUGUCUUAGUUUCUUCACACGUCCUAAUAAUUAUUGAAUGGGCUAAUAUAUUCCUUAUAAAAUAUAUUUAGAGAAAAUUCGAGAUUUGAGAAUAUGUAAUUGAAUUAAUUUAAAAAUAAUACAGUAUACCACAUUUUUAAAAGGAAUUGCGUCGUCACUCCAAAAAUAAUAUUUAUCUUGGCCGAUCGGCUGCAUCCAGACAGGUGUCGUCGUUCACUCUAUUUUCCUGACUAAUUCAGACGCUAAAACGCGCAUGCUCCUCGUAUCUGAUGUUGAUCGAGGUCGCCAUUUUGGUUGUCGACUAGCAGUUCUAUGUGAAAAUUUCGUAUUAUAAUUUUUCGAUAGUUUAAAAGCAUCGACCAUGAUUAUCGACAAUUUUCAAAUCUUGAACAAUCAGUAGAGAUCUAACCGAAUCAUAUUCGGCUUCGAUCCGGAUCAGAAUAUUUUGAGAGCCAAUAAUUAAUAAAUUAGAAAAAAGGAAGAACUGGAGUGGCAAUAAGCCACUGCAAUUUGUGAAAGAGGCCUUUAUCAACGAAUGCUCUCCUUGAGGCUGGUGUCUUGCAGAUUUCUCAAACAGCCAUAGACAGUUUGUGUGGCCAUGUUUGUUGAUCACGAUUUGAGUCUUGUUUCAGCAGAUAUUAACCCUUUAAUCUGCCUUGGAUUCUAGAGUGAAUCUAUUGUUGAAAUAUACAAGCAAAUACUGGUAGUUGUGCUUUAAAGGCACAAUUGCUACAGCUGAUUCAUUUGACAAAGUUUGCUGUUUCCCUUCAUUUAUUUGAAACUGACAUCUUCAAAUUGAUUGAGCCUAGCUGAACUUUGUGGAUAAAUCUAGUAGAAUUGGCUUGGGUACCACAUUCCCUUGCAGCUGUAGUAUCAGGAUUAGUCAGCUGCUUAUGGGAAAGAAUGCGGAAUCCUUCUUGUGCUCAAGUUAAUGUUAUAGAAAUGACAACUUUGACAGAGAGUCAAAAUAUUGACUGUGAAACAGGAAGAAAUCUGGAUCGGCCAUGUUCGAAGAAACCUAAUUUAAAGAAUCAGAUAUUUGGAUCAUCGUUGAAAGAUUUAAGAGAAAGAAAUGACAAAUAUAAAAGUGCAGUACCUUAUGUUUUGUAUCGACUUUGUACUUUCAUAGAAAUGAA
rnacentral:lncRNA from 1 species